rnacentral:rRNA from 1 species
GACGAACCGUGCGAACGUUGUUCGGAAUCACUGGGCUUAAAGGGCGCGUAGGCGGGCUGUCAAGUCUGGGGUGAAAUGCCACGGCUCAACCGUGGAACUGCCUCAGAUACUGACGGCCUCGAGGGAGGUAGGGGCGUGCGGAACUGUAGGUGGAGCGGUGAAAUGCGUUGAUAUCUACAGGAACUCCGGUGGCGAAAGCGGCGCGCUGGACCUCUUCUGACGCUGAGGCGCGAAAGCUAGGGGAGCAAACGGGAUUAGAUACCCCGGUAGUCCUAGCCCUAAACGAUGGGUACUAGGUAGUAGACUAGACAUGGGUUUACUGCCGAAGCUAAAGUGCUAAGUACCCCGCCUGGGGAGUAUGGUCGCAAGGCUGAA